rnacentral:lncRNA from 10 species
CAACAACAACUGGUAUUUGUCAGAUGUCUACACUGUGCAUGGCAUUAUGUCAGGUGAUCUACAAGCUUUACGUCAAUGGAUUCUUACUGAAACCCUUUGAGUUCCCAGAGCUUAUCGCACCAUCUGUGAAAUCUGAAGUAUUGUUGUGAGGAUUCAAUGGAGUAAUAUCUGCUGAUGUGCGAACCACAGAGCCUGCAGGAGAGUAAGUCGUUGGGAAGGGCUGGCUUCCUUCUUUUACAAUGGCAGUCAGUAUGUUCAGGCUUAUGUCAGGGCCAAGGAUGGGUUUCUCAGUCUUAGAAACCUCCCUGGUGGGGAAAGGCUGUGACACAGUAGCCUAGAUCCCAGGGAAUACAUGGAGAGGUGGAGUGUCCAGGGGUGAGGACUGAGAGUAGCUAGAGUGACUGAUGUGCUGGAGAACAGUCCAGCUGGGUGUGGAGGGAGGCCCAUGGAAGAGAGGGGCAAAGAAGCCAUUUCCAGCAAAAACCAAGAAUCCUUGGGCUGGGCCCCACCUGGAUACAAAUCCAAAUCUAUACCAGCCAAUGUGAGCCAGGCAAGGUGGCCUGAGCUGAGGCUUCAGGAACCCUGGGAUAAAGAAUGUGUGCUAGACAAACAGAAUGUGUCUUGC